rnacentral:rRNA from 1 species
GAUGAACGCUGGCGGCGUGCCUAAUACAUGCAAGUCGAGCGAAUGGAUUAAGAGCUUGCUCUUAUGAAGUUAGCGGCGGACGGGUGAGUAACACGUGGGUAACCUGCCCAUAAGACUGGGAUAACUCCGGGAAACCGGGGCUAAUACCGGAUAACAUUUUGAACCGCAUGGUUCGAAAUUGAAAGGCGGCUUCGGCUGUCACUUAUGGAUGGACCCGCGUCGCAUUAGCUAGUUGGUGAGGUAACGGCCCACCAAGGCAACGAUGCGUAGCCGACCUGAGAGGGUGAUCGGCCACACUGGGACUGAGACACGGCCCAGACUCCUACGGGAGGCAGCAGUAGGGAAUCUUCCGAAAUGGACGAAAGUCUGACGGAGCAACGCCGCGUGAGUGAUGAAGGCUUUCGGGUCGUAAAACUCUGUUGUUAGGGAAGAACAAGUGCUAGUUGAAUAAGCUGGCACCUUGACGGUACCUAACCAGAAAGCCACGGCUAACUACGUGCCAGCAGCCGCAGUAA